rnacentral:lncRNA from 1 species
GCCAAGUCCAAGUGCGCAAGCCCAGAUCUCGGCGCGCCCCUGAGGAGUUUCUGUGGGAAGAUUUUCUGUUUUCCAGGUUUCCCAAGGGAAACGAAGAAAGGGAGGAGGAUAAUCAAUGACUGAACCUCUAAUAGAUGUUGGACGACGUUAAAAAAAAAAUGUAUCGGCCCUACCCUCGAGGAUUUGACAAAUUAGACUGACCAGAGUAAUAAGAGAUACAGGCAGAAGAGGAGACAUAGACACACACAGAGGAGAAGAUGAUGUGAAAAGGGAGGCAGAGAUCACAGUGGUGUGGCUACAAGCCAAGAAAUACCGAAGCCAUCAGAAGUUGGAAGAGCCACCAAGAGUGCUGAACAAUCAUCUGAGGACAUCAUUGGGUAUCACUGGCAAAGAGAAGAGAUGAAGAAAAGAUAAGAGAAAGAAAUGAAAGUGGAAGAGGGCAGAAAAAGAUAAACAAAAGUUAGGAGAGUUUUCAGGAGGAGAAAAUAAAGAGAAGACAGAGAAGGAAGUAUCUGAUCCACAUUUGUCAGGACGCCAAUUCACCUAAUCAUAUCUGCCAUAUAUUUUCCAUCUAAGUCACCUUGACAAGCUAUCAUUAACCUUGUAGCCCAUGUGUGUCUCAGAAUCCACUCUUCUCCCCACCUACUGGCAUGUGUAUUUAUUUUUAUGUAAGUAUUUCUGCUGGAAUGUAUCUAUUAUUGUACUUUAUUCACCAUUCUUCCUUUCUUGCCACUAAUAAAAUUGCAGUUUCAUGAGAGCUUCAGGUUGAACUUUCAUGCCACCUGUUAAUACAGAUAAUUUUUUAUCUACCCAGCUUACCUUGACCUGGUAUAAUUUGUUUGCUUUCAACAACUCUACUUCAAUUUUUUUUUUUUUUUUUUUGAGAUGGAGUCUC